rnacentral:rRNA from 1 species
UAGGGAAUCUUCGGCAAUGGACGAAAGUCUGACCGAGCAACGCCGCGUGAGUGAAGAAGGUUUUCGGAUCGUAAAACUCUGUUGUUAGAGAAGAACAAGGACGUUAGUAACUGAACGUCCCCUGACGGUAUCUAACCAGAAAGCCACGGCUAACUCCGUGCCAGCAGCCGCGGUAAUACGGAGGGUGCAAGUGUUAAUCGGAAUUACUGGGCGUAAAGCGCACGCAGGCGGUUGAUUGAGGCAGAUGUGAAAUCCCCGGGCUUAACCCGGGAAUUGCAUCUGAGACUGGUCAGCUAGAGUCUUGUAGAGGGGGGUAGAAUUCCAUGUGUAGCGGUGAAAUGCGUAGAGAUGUGGAGGAAUACCGGUGGCGAAGGCGGCCCCCUGGACAAAGACUGACGCUCAGGUGCGAAAGCGUGGGGAGCAAACAGG